rnacentral:tRNA from 1 species
UGGGAUUGUAGUUCAAUUGGUCAGAGCACCGCCCUGUCAAGGCGGAAGCUGCGGGUUCGAGCCCCGUCAUUCCCGGC